rnacentral:rRNA from 1 species
AUUGAACGCUGGCGGCAGGCCUAACACAUGCAAGUCGAACGGAGUGGCGGACGGGUGAGUAAUGCCUGGGAAACUGCCUGGUAGUGGGGGAUAACGUCUGGAAACGGGAGCUAAUACCGCAUACUAUCAGAUGAGCCCAGGUGGGAUUAGCUAGUUGGUGGGGGAAAGGCCUACCAAGGCGACGAUCCGUAACUGGUCUGAGAGGAUGAUCAGCCACACUGGAACUGAGACACGGUCCAGACUCCUACGGGAGGCAGCAGUGGGGAAUAUUGGACAAUGGGCGAAAGCCUGAUCCAGCCAUGCCGCGUGUGUGAAGAAGGCCUUCGGAUUGUAAAGCACUUUAAGUUGGGAGGCGUUACCAACAGAAUAAGCACCGGCUAACUUCGUGCCAGCAGCCGCGGUAAUAC